UCCCGUUUAGCUCAGUUGGUAGAGCGCGUCACUAGUAUUACGCAAUGACGAGGUCAGUCGUUCAAAUCGGCUAAUGGGAA
rnacentral:tRNA from 1 species